GAAGAGACCAAUACAGCCUCUGCGAGAGCAACGCCUUUUGGAAAGGACGCAGCAGGGAGGCCCAGUUUAAAUGCUGCCUCUUCUAAGAAACCUGCCCCAGACCUCAUGCCAGUCUCUGCACUUCCCCUCUGACCUCCCCGAGCCAUCUCCUCCCUACCUGUGCACCUGUCUGCUCCCACCUGUGGACGGUAACCUCCUGGAGGAGAGGCACCUCGAACCAAUGAGCCUUCUCACAUCCGUCACCCAGGAGUGAUGCUGUACGAUAACACUUAUAGCAACUAACGUCCUCGGAAUGAUUGCUAUUGCUUUUAACAACUGUGAGCCUUGGACACCCCAGUUUGGAAUGUGCCUCCUAGGAUGGAUAUUUGGUGCCACUUACUGACGACACGAAGGAAGGAGCG
ensembl:lncRNA